rnacentral:tRNA from 1 species
GGGGGAUUGGCGGAAUUGGAAGACGCGCCUGGCUAAGCGACGGUAGUGGGCCCCAACGCCGUCGUGUAAACCGGGUAGGCCCAAGGGCCUGUGAUGGUUCGAAUCCAUCGUCCCCCA